rnacentral:lncRNA from 1 species
CCCAUUUCAACCAUAACAAGGUAGCAAAAUAUUUUAUUGUCAGCCAAGUACCAUUGCUAAAAAUUUCAGAGAUGUGUGGGUUCAAAGGCUGAUUCAAACUACUUAAAAGAGAAAGACAGACUAUAUAAUCCCUGCACAAUCAGUAAACCAAAUUUAUACAGAGAAAGUGACAAAAGCUUCUUUUGCAAAUAUACAACAUUUGAAAAUCUCAUACUCUCUAAUAGUGAAAAACUAAUUUGGACAGUUCAGUUACCCAUAGGAAACAGCAAAUUUUCCAAAGUUUAUUUAACGGAAACCACAGAUCAACACAAAGAAAUCUAGAAUUUAUACACGUAUAUUAGAUAGAUAGAUGCGAGGCAUUAGAUAUAAUGAAGUUCAGUAAUUCCUCUAAAGUCAGUAGUAAAAAAUAGGUGAAAAGUCCUGGUUUCAAAUUGCAAAACAUCCUCUGCUAUUACCAAAGCAACUUUAAAUCUCUCUGUCUGAAAGCUUCUCUUAUGUUAGAUAUGUAUGAUUCUGACUCCUCUCUAUUCUACCUCUUUUAAGGAUCCCAGUAUGACUAAGAUGGGAAGAAAUGACAGAGAAUCUCAGAAGUGCUACUUGAAAUCAAUUUAUACAGUGAACCCAAAUGUUACCCUCAUCAAUAUUUAUAAAAAGGUUUCACAUUAUAUGGCCAGCAUUGAAUGGUGCAUGUUAUUCUUAUUAAUGUUUCAUAAACAUUUCUACAAAAAACAAUAUGCUUUACUUUGCUACUGAGUAUUAAGUAGAAUUAUGGCAGCAUCUGCUUCCAACAGUUGAGUGCACAAGCUAUUCAUGCCCUGUCGUAAAUUCCAUGAUGCAUUAAGAUGCCAUUAAAGGUACCUUCUGUGGCUGUCUCCUCAUUUACAUACCUUGUAAAUCAUCAGGUAAAAAAUCAAGUGAACUGGGGAGUUAUUUCCUGCAUUCUUUCCUUCUGUCACAGAAUCCAGUGCCAUCUCCAUCUUCCUCCAUCAGGAGCAUCACCUACCAAAACAUGAAGUUAAUGAUGUCAAUGAUGAGAAACUUAAUUGGUUUCCUGUGCUGCCACAUUCACAUCUAUUAUGCACAUCCGAUGACAAUUAUAGAGCUUUUGUUUUCAGGAAUUCACCAGUUUAUUCUUUAAGAAUUAAAAUAACUUUAAUAACAGGAGACCAGACUUGUUUCUUACCACUGUGAGAUUAAAAGAAGGAUGGAGGGAUCAUCUGAAAGUCUCUGUGUGCUGGAAACAUCAAGUAAUGACCUUUAUUACUAAUGACCUAGGCCCUCCAGCAAUGAACCUAGACAACACUGAUUAGGAGAGAAGCCUGCUGCUUUUUACAGGCAUAUAAAAUAAAAGAAGUCUUUGUGUUAAUGGAGAGGGUUAUGACACUGUAGGAUAUGUAAAAAUGAAUGAGCUGUACAAAGAAGGAAUUUUUCCUCCACUGUGGAAGACAGUGAAAAAUUAAUCCAUCAGUAUAAAUACCUGAAUCAUACUUUCACACAGCGCUGUAGAUCUGUUCAAGAUAACAUUAGCCAAACCUUACACUGCAGAUUUGUAAAGCAAUUUUAGCCUGGAAGUUCUGCUUAGAUCACCUCAAAUUAACAGGAAGUGAAGUCUGAGAUUUAGGUCUUAGAAGCAUUCUUGUGUUAAGGAAGCACCAAAAGGAAGCUAGUAUAGAUUGGCAGGAUGUAUAUUUUAAACUGAGAGAAGCUUGUUACUUUUGCUGCCUCAAAUGUGAGAAGUAGCAGAAAAAGAAAAAAAAAAAAGAGAGAAAGAAAAAGAAAAGAUGGAUAGAUGAACAAAUGCAGACCUUAGUUAAAAAGGCCACAUAUUUCUUCUGACUUCCUGCUUGAGCCCUGCAUUUGUACAAUUAUUGUUCUCCUGACCUUUUAGUCUCGGUCACACCAUAAUUCUAACACUGCUUCACACCUGGAAAUUGAGUAGGAUACCUCUCUCCCUGUGAUACGUCCUGGGGCACUCAGGACAAGGCACAACUUCCAGCAAAUCUCAAAGCAGUACAACACUCAAGACACCCGUCUGUUGGCACACAAGGGCAAUCACAUGCAGUUUUUUAUCCAUCUUCAGCACCCACAAGCUCAUCAGAUGCCUGUUGCAUCAUUCUGUGAUGUUGCCCAGCCACUUUCUCCUCAGAUCACAUCUUGGCCUGCUGUAUUUCUCCAGCUGACCAAGCGCAGUCUGCAACCAGGUGACUUAUCUUCCUAAGGAAAGCACACCCCAACAGCUAAAGCUCCUUUUUCACCAAUCCUUUUUACCGCUCUCUCAUUCUCAGUGUUGGUUUGCCAGAUGACCCCAGGGCAAUGCAUCAAAACUUCACAGAUUCCUGUAUCCUCAUCUAAAAUGCCAGCAGAAUUCACAGAUCAACCUUCCUGAAGAUCCAUAACUUUGUUACAACAAGAUUGAAAACUGUGUCAGGAUUUUACACAACACCUGUAAGUCUUUCUCCAAGACAUUUGUACAUGGCAUGAUGAGCAGCAUUAACCUCCAUGAAUUUCAUACUACUUUUUUUAGAGCUAGUUCUGAACUUUCAGUUCUGAGCUGUGAUUUCAAUCACCCACUGAGAUUUCGGUCCUCAAGAAUAGCAGCUUUCAUACAUGAUUAAUGAAUAAUCCUAUACAGAACAUGGCACCGCAUUAAAUUUAUUUUCCAGAUCCACACAGAUUACAACUAUCUUUACGUUCUCUGCAUUAUCUCUACAAUUUUUGGAAGUUUUUUUCUUAGCCAGUUUUGUCAAGAAAUCAGCAUUUGUGGAAAUAUCCUGCCUUAAUCUUCAUGUUUGUCUAAAUGACUGAUGGUCCCUUUAAAAAUUAAUUUCUACUAUAUGUAUACUGAGCUCUGAGAGUUAUGCUCCAUGUUUUCACCAUUCUUCCUUAGUUCUUUCUUAAAACAUUAAAGAACUAUUUUCCUCCCUUCCAGCUCCUGGCUCUACAGUGACUCAGAGAUCUGUCAUGAAUGAGUUUUUUCACUGUCGAAUUGCUAUUCAUGAAAACUAAAUGAGUUCAGAGGAAUGGGAUGACUUACAUUAUAUUCUUGGCUUAAAAGGUUCCUUUUUAUUAAAUCUGUUUACAGGAAAUUACAACAAAUUUUUAUUUGCCUAUUUAAGCUAUCUACAGGUUAUAAAUGGUUGAUAACUUCAAAAAAAAUUCUAUUUUUUAGAUGUGCCUGUGCAGAAUACUUUAUGGACUCUGCUCAUUCAAAAAGUUCAGUGCUUGCUAGCUUUCCUAUCUGUUAUGCCACAGCCCACAGAACAACAUGUAGAGCAGCCAAGUGCCAGCCUGCAUGCAGAGCUCUGAUAAAGGGGACCAGGAAAUCUUCAGCAGCUCCCAGCAACUGCAGGAGUAAUCACCAAAGGGACAAAGGGAGGAAUGAAAAUAAGCACAAAGUGCCUGCAAGUUGAAAUUCUCCAGAGAAAGGACAAAGUGGUAAGAGUACGGCAAGCUGCCUGCUACAGUGCUGGAAACUGAGCUCCACUUCUCCCUGGCAUACUGCUGCUCCGAAUGAGCACCACUGAGGUUAGAAAACAUUAUCAUUGCCCAGCUCUCGUUAUCAGACAGAAACUGCCUGUGCCUCUCCAUAUUCUAAAUGGGACUGUCUCCGUCGAAUACAGCCGUGUUCCUUGGCUGCUGAGAAAUAUGCCUGCCUUCUUGCAGAAAUAAAAAAAGUUGGUUUACAAACAGAACCUCUCAAGCUUUCUCUCCAUUAGAGUAUCAGCCUUGACUGUCAUGUUGCUGCAGGUAGCCAGCUCCCAUUAACCACCCUGUCUCAGCAGUCACCUGAGCACGGGCUGCCUGGUCCAACUAAGAAGAUAAAAUAGACCUUGAGGCCAACUUCAUCCAGCUGAUUGCCUGCUCACUUCUGUUAUUCAUAGCAGGGACAGGCCUCCUUUGCUCCUAAAUAUCCAGGGUAGAUAGCUUUGAAAAAUGCACAGCUUCUUGCAAAAGAACAGCUAAGAUGCACCCAAGUAACCGCACUAGUAGAAGCAACACCAGCAGAGAAGCAAUAAAUCACAAAGGAAUAAAGAGAUACUGAUUCACAUAAGAAGAAACCAGCUACACAAGCCUCCUCAACCGCUUAAUAAGAAAAGACAUUGCAUCUUAACAUCUGAUGAGGGGAACGGAGGUGUUUGCCUUGAUCAAUCUCUUCACAACGUCAAAGAGAAGUGGAAAUAGAAUAAACAAACAAGGUCUCUCACAAAACUUCAGUCUCACACCUAACACCCAGCACCAGACAAAGACUGUCUUUCUAAGGAUGGGGAAGGGGGUUUCUUGUCAUGUUCCUGCUUGUAUCAUACAGACAUCAAAAGAAACUCAUUCUUAUGAUUUGCUACAGAAAAUUUACUUCAUAGACUCCUGGCGAACAUCUCCACAGUUGAAAAAAAUAGAAAUCUUUCAAGUCAUCAGCUUUCACACAUCUUAUUAUAGCAGCCCCCUUGCUGAAAUUCAUACAUGCUGAUGACAACACCGGUACACACACAUGUCAUCUGAGCUGUUUAUAGCCACUCUUUUAUUUAAUGCAUCUCAUCUGCCAGGUUUUUUUGCAGGUUUUGUCUGCUUUAUCAUGUUAUCGUUUAAGUCUUUAUCUAUAAAUCAAACUGAUAUAUAAACCACUUUGUCAUCUUUUGUUUCACAACAGAUGUACAGUAAGCAGAGACUGCCUCUGAAUAGGAAAAAAUGGGAAUGAAAACACUGGCUGAAGCAUACACAGAAGUUUUUAAAAAAGUGUCUUGUUACUAAUAAUCAACGACACAGAAGGAUGGAUGUUUAUGCACAGAAUAUAAGAGGAGAAAAAAUAAAUAAAUAAGAUGAGGAUACUCUUCAUAUGCAAAUGUGAUUUCUUCCUCUCUGUAAUCAGGCCAAGGAAAACAGUCUGAGGGAGGGAUAGCCAUAUAGAAGAACUAAGGCUGAGUCACUUGCAGGAGGUUCCUAGGACACGUAUGUUGAAAUGCAAAAUUCAGUUGCACAAAAAAAGAACUUGGCAUUUCCACUAUGCUAGUGAGUUUUCAUGGACAAACUGUGAUCUUUGCCAGCACACACCAACUACUCCAAAAUCCUCUCAUGACUCCUGUGAUAUUAUCAUUGAUGAGAGGACCAUAGGUUAUAGCUAUACUAUUGUUGUACUAUAAUCAGUGGAAGAAAAUAUACUACUAACAACUGCCCAGAUCAAAAUGCUUCAGAGAAUCUGAGUUAGUGCUGAUAGAAAGGUUUCUCUGCAGUGCACAAGAUGCCAUUUAGUAACACACUGUUAACACUAUUAAGAGUAUUACUGGCACUCUUCUGGAUACUUCUUUCACCCUGGAGAUUCAAACUGAUCCAAAACACAAAACUCUGACUUCUUCCAGUGAAUAAGCGGGAAUUUAGGUUCACUGUUACAGGUGAAGACCUGUUGUUCAAUCUGUUUGACUUUGGGACUAAUAAAAACCAAAGAAAAGUAAAAAAUCUCAGUAGAUGGCUUAGGUGAGCCAACAUAUGCCAUACAUCCUUAUCUCUAAAUCAGUUUAAGCAUUGAACAUGCUAUUUAACCACAUAUCCAGCAUUUCUUUUAGCCUGGAGUAUAGUUCUCAUUGUUCUUAUUAUCCACAUGAACCUCUGACCUCCUGAACUUCCCAAUCUCUUGGUCACAAGCACUUUUGUUUAUGAAACAAGCGAAAAAACAUCUUGAAAAGAAACUUCCUCAUGAGAUGUCAAUUAUUUGAGAUUUCGGUAAGUAUGAAAAAAUAUGCCAAAAAGAUACAAACAGUUUAUACUUCAGCCAACUAGAUUUAAACUUUGAUCAAGACUGAAAAAGUUAAUAAUCACUUUUUGAAUGUAUUUUUUUUUCUGGUUCAGUUUUAGAAACACCCCCAAAUGACAGCAAAUAUUUAAGACUGACUGUAGACACUUUUUUUCCAUAAUUCCCAAACUCUUCCCAAAAAGAAGAAUUAGCAAUCUUCUCCUACCUAAGCAGUUACUUUCACGUAAAAGUAGAUUUUUUGAAAACUCACAAGAUGAAAUUCCUCUAUAUGUAAAAUUAAACCUUUAUAUCACAAAUAUUGGUUAAAGAUCAAGAACAGACUGAAUAUUUUGAGAAAAAUGGAAACAGGGGUAUAAAAAGAAAAAUAUCAUCUCAGGCAAAAAGCAAAUUGUAUUGUAGCAAUUCUCUAUAAAGAACAGCAUUCAUGUCUUCUUUAAGAAUAAAUGCAAAAUUUUGGAAAUUUUCACAAGAUCCUAAAAAAGCAUCAGCAUGGAAGAUUUGAGCUACAUAUAAGACAUCACAUAUAAUCAAAUCUUCAACAUUCACAAAUGUUAAUACUGCCACAAGUAUUUGAAAACUUUUACACAAAUUUUAUUAUAAAAAUUCAUUUAAAAAAGCCAUGAUGGUGACCAUAAGUUUCAGCAGCUUUAAGACUCCAACCUCUAAUAAAUUCUGAAUGUCUAAAGAACAACAAACCUAAUGUUACCAAGAUCUGCUAUUCUAAUAUUGUAUAAAUUUGUACUGAAGCCUUAAGACUGCUAGAAGAUUGCCUAAUUCCUUACCAUUUCCAUCUGAUUGUAUCUACUGUAACAUUUUAAGACAUAAUAGGUUAUAUACUUAACUCAUUUGCUGACAACUUUUACUCCUUGAUACAGGAAAGGAUUUACUUACAGAGCUCCACAAGAAAAUGAAACACUUCAAAAUUUUCCUUAAAGCAAAACAAACAGAAGUAGAAGCAUUUGUUUUAGCAGUAUACAAAAUCAGCACCACAGGAGGCAGAAGCAUAUUUGACACAGUGCAACAAGGAAUGAAGAUCUUCUUUUGAAAUAUGCAAUGCAAAAUGUUUUUCAUCCCCAACAAUAGAAAAAAGAAAAC